UAAUGUAUGGGGAUCUGCCCGAUAGAGGGGAUAACUACUGGAAACGGUGGCUAAUACCGCAUAAUGUCUACGGACCAAAGCAGGGGCUCUUCGGACCUUGCACUAUCGGAUGAACCCAUAUGGGAUUGCUAGUAGGUGGGGUAAAGGCUCACCUAGGCGACGAUCUCUAGCUGGUCUGAGAGGAUGAUCAGCCACACUGGGACUGAGACACGGCCCAG
rnacentral:rRNA from 1 species